rnacentral:lncRNA from 1 species
GUAGUUCCAGUGGGCCGCGUGAGCAGGCGCACUUCCUGGCUUCAGGUGUUGAGGAUACCCUGACUGUGUUCUGAAUUUUUCAGUGGAGCCGAGGGAACAGACGUUGUCUUCUGCUUGAUCCUGAGCACCAACUCCAAGAAGAAAGUGUCUGAAAAACAAAUAGUGUUAUGGCAUGAUGUUAGAAAAAUUUUCAAAUCCUUGUUCCUAAAACUUCACAUUAGAAGAAUUGGAAUUUGAAAAACACCAGUAAAACUAAAUUACAAGAAAAUUCAAUUCAAGAGGAAGAUUAUGAAUAUAAUAAUUUGGGGAAAAUAUUUAAUCUGAGUUCAAACUUUUUAAACAAC